UACAGAGGGUGCGAGCGUUGUUCGGAAUUACUGGGCGUAAAGCGCGCGCAGGCGGUUUCUUAAGUCUGAUGUGAAAGCCCACGGCUCAACCGUGGAGGGUCAUUGGAAACUGGGGAACUUGAGUGCAGAAGAGAAAAGCGGAAUUCCACGUGUAGCGGUGAAAUGCGUAGAGAUGUGGAGGAACACCAGUGGCGAAGGCGGCUUUUUGGUCUGUAACUGACGCUGAGGCGCGAAAGCGUGGGGAGCAAACAGG
rnacentral:rRNA from 1 species